AUGCAUUCCGUUGUCUUCAACAACACCCUCCAACACCCUCCUCUUACACGCUUUCUCGCGACCGGCCAGGAAAGACGCAACAAACCGGAAUCUUCUGCGGCAAAAGCUUUAUUGCUUACAUCUUCAGGAGCAAGAGUGCAAGAGAGCAAGAGCUCUAUUGCUUACAUCUUUAGGAGCCAGAGCAAGAGCGCAAGAGAGCAAGAGCCAGAGCAAGAGAGAGAAAGAAAGCAAGAAAAAGAACAAGAACAAGAAAGCAAGAGCAAGAGAGAGAGAAAGCAAGAACAAGAGAGAGAAAAAGAAUGGCAAAACCCCGUCCCUUUUAAGGAGAAUUAUCCUCCGCCUAGGACGUAUUACUCCCUGAUUGGCUGCAGCCCAUCGGCCCAGUAG
rnacentral:lncRNA from 1 species